UACGGAGGGUGCGAGCGUUGUCCGGAAUCUCUGGGCGUAAAGGGCGCGUAGGCGGCGCGGGGAGUCAACGGUGAAAGCUCGGCGCUCAACGCCGAGUCGGCCGUCGAUACUCCCGUGCUUGAGCACUGUAGAGGCAGGUGGAAUUCCGGGUGUAGCGGUGGAAUGCGUAGAGAUCCGGAAGAACACCGGUGGCGAAGGCGGCCUGCUGGGCAGUAGCUGACGCUGAGGCGCGACAGCGUGGGGAGCAAACAGG
rnacentral:rRNA from 1 species